UACGUAGGGUGCGAGCGUUAAUCGGAAUCACUGGGCGUAAAGCGCGCGUAGGCGGAUUGUUAAGUCGGGGGUGAAAUCCUGAGGCUCAACCUCAGAACUGCCUUCGAUACUGGCAAUCUCGAGUCCGGAAGAGGUUGGUGGAACAGCUAGUGUAGAGGUGAAAUUCGUAGAUAUUGGGAAGAACACCGGUGGCGAAGGCGGCUAUCUGGCCCGCAAUUGACGCUGAGGCGCGAAAGCGUGGGGAGCAAACAGG
rnacentral:rRNA from 1 species